UUAUAUGUAGGGUGCAAUUAUUGGCCUAAUCACUGGAUUGGUAAUAUCUUUUUUGGGACAUAUUAUUAUUAGCACAUGUUAAUCCAUCAACUUUUUUUAUAUGUAGGGUGCAAUUAUUGGCUUAAUCUCUGGAUUGGUAAUAUCUUUUUGGGUUGGAUUUGGAAGUUUUAGUCAUAAGCCAAGUGUUCCGAAACUUCCUUUUUCGAUAUCAAGCUGCCACAAUGGAACUGCCGUUUUAGCCAGCACUGUGGCUCCAGCAAUUAAGAAUGCCGAUAUAUUUAAAUUUUAUCGACUGUCGUACAUGUGGUUCAGUGCUUUGGCAUGUGUCGUGGUCGUCAUCGUGGGUCUCUUGGCAAGUUUGAUUACCGGGUUACAAAAUCCAGAAGAUGUAGAUCCAAAAUUAAUUAUCCCUCUGAUUGACAAACUGUGUUGUUAUCUGCCGCCGAGUGUACAACAGAAACUAAGGUUCCACG